UACGAAGGGGGGCGAGCGUUUGUUCGGAAUUACUGGGCGUAAAGGGCGCGUAGGCGGCGACCCAAGUCAGAUGUGAAAGUCCUGGGCUUAACCUGGGGGACUUGCAUUUGAUACUGGGGUUGCUUUGAAUUCGGGGAGAGGAUAGCGGAAUUUCCCAGUGUAGAGGUGAAAAUUUCGUAGAUAUUUGGGGAAGAACACCCGGUGGCGAAGGCGGCUAUCUGGACCGACAUUACGCUGAGGGCGCGAAAAGCGUGGGGGGAGCAAACAGGG
rnacentral:rRNA from 1 species